rnacentral:rRNA from 1 species
CUGAGCGGCGGACGGGUGAGUAACGCGUGGGUAACCUGCUCAUACAGGGGGAUAACAGUUGGAAACGGCUGCUAAUACCGCAUAAGCGCACAGUACCGCAUGGUACGGUGUGAAAAACUCCGGUGGUAUGAGAUGGACCCGCGUCUGAUUAGGUAGUUGGUGGGGUAACGGCCUACCAAGCCGACGAUCAGUAGCCGACCUGAGAGGGUGACCGGCCACAUUGGGACUGAGACACGGCCCAA